CAGAAGUGCAGAGCUCUAGUCCACAGCCUUCCUCCCCAGGACAUGUGAUUCAAGCCUGAAGCAUACAAUGGGAGCACAAAGGAGGAGGGGACAGAGAAAAGAAAUGAGCAUCAGCCUUGGGAAUGUCUCCUCUGACUGUAGAGUCAGGAGACAUUAAGAUAAACAUUCACUGGAACAUAUACAUUCUGGUAGAUUCCGAUGAGAAUUAAGCCCAUUCAUUCAUCUGGUAGGAUCCUUCCACAGAAAAUUCCCAUUCACAUAAUCCCACAUUAUAGCAUUGCUGCCGUGGGGAAGUCAGAUUCCAUUUACACUAUUCAGACUUGCAGUCCCUCAGUCAGGAACACCAGCUCCAGGAGUGAGACGCACCUCUACGAACUGUAUUUACGUUAACCCUCAGAACACCAUCCCACAUGACAAGCCACAGGGUGA
rnacentral:lncRNA from 1 species